rnacentral:rRNA from 1 species
UACGGAGGAUGCAAGCGUUAUCCGGAAUUAUUGGGCGUAAAGCGUCCUUAGGUGGUUGAGUAAGUCUGCUGUUAAAGCGUGGAGCUUAACUCCAUAUCGGCAGUGGAAACUACUUGACUUGAGUGCGGUAGGGGUCAGGGGAAUUCCCAGUGUAGCGGUGAAAUGCGUAGAUAUUGGGAAGAACACCGGUGGCGAAAGAGCCUGACUGGGCCUGCAGUGACAAUGAGGGACGAAGGCUAGGGGAGCGAAAGGG